GUCUGGAUUAAUAGAUAAUAUUGGGGAAUCUCAUAUCUGCUUCUGCAUUCAACCUGCUACUGUUCAAUUUUGUUGUUUUUUAUUUUUUAUUUUUUAAACCCUUACCUUUCAUCUUGGAGCCAAUUGGCUCCAAGGCAGAAGAGUGGUAAGGGCUAGGCAAUGGGGGUCAAGUGACUUGCCCAGGGUCACACAGCUGGGAAGUGGCUGAGGCCAGAUUUGAACCUAGGAGCUCCCUUCUCUAGGCCUGGCUCUCAAUCCACUGAGCCAUCCAGCUGCCCCUUGUAUGUUGUUUUAAUUGAAGUGUAAUGAAACAAUCUGGCCUCACCUGGUAUAUAGUUGGGAAAGAGAGGAGUAUUUCACUUGGUAAAUUCCAUUUUAGCAUGAUUGUGAACAUGGCUUUGAUCUCCUAGAAAGGGUCACAAGGCCCCACAGGACUGAGUCCCCUGGCCACACUGCCCUAAAGAGACUAGUACCGAAAAUGAAGGCAGAACAUCUGCUCUCACCAUCCAAGGAUCGAGGCAGCGCGGGUGUGGGUUUGUUAGCAGCCUGUGAGAAAGGAAGUGGGCCUGAGAAAGGCACUCCUCGGUGCAGCUGGUUAUAAUUAGUGCUUGCACCUGGGAGACUGGGCAGUUUCCUGUCCUUGAGGUUUGAAAGUUUCAACCUCAGGAGUGAAAACAAGCUGGCAGAAAGGGGGGCUGGAGCAGAGGCGUGCAAGGACAGCCCUCAGGAACUCUGGCAACCUUCCGCUCGCGCCGAGGCCCCCCAAGUCCAUGUUUGUGUUGUUCAGCUCUGACAACACCGCCUUACAGUCUGCCUCUCACCAACAGACUGAUUGAGGAGCAUACACUUCCAGGGGCCAGUGAUCUAUGGAUUUACAGCUCCUGUGAGUCUUGUUCUUCUGGAAGUUCAACUUGCACUUCUACUGGAGUUCUACUGGCCGUUCUACUGGAGAGGAGAAUAAUUCUUCAUUCAGAAGAGUGCUGACUGGACCUGUUUUUCCUGGUGACCCUGUUCCUUUGAACUGACAUGUGCAAGGGAAGGUGCAAAGUGGAUUGCAAGUAUUGAUUGACAGCCCUCAAGCCAAGGAUUCUACAAGAGCUGGCUGGGUCAAAAUUCUAACGGAGUUGGAGCAGCUUUCAACUGUCAGUCUGAAGCUGGAUCUCCACACGAAGCUUUGACUCUGAGAUUCUCCUUGGGAAAAAAACAUCUUUCAAGCUGCCUGCCUUAGAUUAGCACCAAGAAAAAGUUGAGAGGAAGUUCCCCAUUCAUUCUGGUUGGACAAAGUCAUUUUGGAAGAGAAUGUCUCCCUUUCCUGGAUCUUCUAAUGACUUUACAAUUGGAUGUCUUCAGUCUGACCCUCCAAGGACUCUGUGUGAGAAUCUGGGCUCUCUGUUUGGACUUAUCCUUAGUUAAUUUUAGUUUAGUUUAAUUUAGACAGUUUAAGCUUAGUAUAGGAACUUAUUAGGUUAAGUAUCUGGGUGGGUGAUACUCAGAUGGUCAACCUUCUCCAUUCCUUCCCCAUCAUUACCUUCCUUUAUUAAUAAAUGUAUUUAUAUAAUUGUGUGUUUUCCCUUU
rnacentral:lncRNA from 1 species